AAGUGUAUCUAAAAUAUCAUAAAAAACAUUACUAAUAACAAAUGAGAAAUGAUGACUGAAAAGACAUCAAAUCGAAUUGAUAUCAUUUUGGUAAAAAAAGAUCGAUUCGACCGCACCCGAACGCACCCCUGAAGGACUUGGACAGGGAAAGAGCAGAGAAAGAAGAAAGCAAAUGGGAGGCAGCAAGAAGCAGAUUAUUCAGAGAAGUCGGAAUGGAAAAAAAGAAUUUAAGGAGAAUGAGAGAGACAGGAAACGAAGAACUAGCAAAAAUAAUACAAGAGAAAAUCGAGAACAAAGAAAAAGAAAAGAGAAGGAAGAAAAUAGCAGAAUCAAGAUACAACGAUACAUGCAAAGAUUUAAUAAUCUUUUUUAGCCAUCCUAAGCCGAAAGGCAAGAAUUAUGUUCAA